rnacentral:rRNA from 1 species
AUAACAAUACCGGGCGCAUUAGUGUCUGGUAAUUGGAAUGAGUACAAUCUAAAUCCCAUAACGAGGAUCCAUUGGAGGGCAAGUCUGGUGCCAGGAGCCACGGUAAUUCCAGCUCCAA